CGCCGUCCGGGCUCCUCCUGCCUCGGCCUGUGCCAGGCUGGGGAGAGGACGGAGGUCACCGAGAGGCAGUGAGAGGUUGUUCCAGAAGAAACCUGGGAAACAAAAGACUAUGUUUGGAACACGAUGUGGAGAAAGCCAGAACUUAUUCAAACACUUCAGCAGCUGCAAAUUUCAAGAGCCUACUGUACUGAAGGCUGUUCUGCAGUUACAUUCCCCUCUGGGAGACAGUAAACUGGCCUUUCAGUUUGUACAUCAGCAUCUGGUGAUCUUGGUUAAUGUGAAUCAGUCCCCCUAGACCUGACCACUCCUGCACAAACUAAUAAACCUACAAAGCUAAAAUCCA